AAAGUCGUAACAAGGUUUCCGUAGGUGAACCUGCGGAAGGAUCAUUAUCCUUUUAUCAGGGGAUUGGUGUCAGCGUCCAGGGCUUUGUUCUGCUCUUUGACCCUUUCUCUUCUGAUUAUACCCAUGUUUUUGCGUACUAUUUGUUUCCUUGGUGGGCUCGCCUGCCAAUAGGACAAACCAAAACCCCUUGUAAUUGCAGUCAGCGUCAGUAACAAUGUAAUAAUUACAACUUUCAACAACGGAUCUCUUGGUUCUG
rnacentral:misc_RNA from 1 species